UUCAGAGCUAAAGAGCUAAAUGAUUCACUCAGACUGAUUCGCGACUCGUUUUAAAGCCUUCUGCUAAUCUGCUUGGCCAAUUCACUGAAAAGAGCCGAUUCAAAAGAGUGAUUCAUUCUUUAAUCGCUGGUUCUGAUUCGAAACAGCCGACAGAGUAUAUCGGGUAAAUGACAUGAUUGGUGAAAUGUUAGGAAAUCUAAAUAAUGAUCUAAUGUUAAGUCUAAAGCUGUGAUAGAGUAGCCCAUGAGCGUGAGUCCCGUUUACAACACUUGACAACAGACAAUCUCACACGAAAAUCUCACCUGAAGCGUCAAGGACACAGACUCGAGGGAAUGUGAAGAUUUUAGCUGUUUUCUGGGAUUUGCUGUGCGGUAACUAUGGUGUUCUGGUUGUUACAGUAGGUGGCUGUUUAGAUGAGCUAGUCAAAAGAGCUCAACCCACAACCUCUUCUGAAAGUUCUGGGAUGUUUUCAACUACAUCUGAUAUAUUUGUAAAUGAACAGCACAUGCACUGAACACUAUUUGCGUACCUCGGAAAGUCAUAAUUUACCACUUUUACAAAAAGAAAAGUGCAGCAAAACGCCAUUUGAAGAUGUAUUGUGACGUCACGCGAACAUGGCGACACGCGGCGAGCUGCACACAUAAACAUUCACUUUUAAACAAAUAAAACAUCAAAUGGCGUUACAUCAUAAUGAAACCUCUAAGGAAACGUGAAUCAAAUGUGAAACACAUUAACGUUAAAUGACUCUCGCGCAGUGCUGCAUCUUUGGUUUCUGUUUCUGUUUUUCCAGCAGUUCACGUCUGUCCUGUGUUUAUACUGGAGCUGUGCUCUGAUUGGCCGUCUCUGCUCCGGUGGGCGUGGCUAAUGUGGCUGUUCUGGUUCAUGACAUCAUAUCCACAAGAGCAGGAGGAUCAAGAGAGUCUUGAACAGAGAGGAUGAAUCUGCAGCGCCACCUGCAGGAUGAGCAUUAAAACAGCGUCAUUUAUUCACUGGAUGGAUCUGAUCCAGAUAUGAACACUGGACAUUUACAAUUAUUCGUUUAAACAAUUUAUUUCUAAAUGUAAUUCACCACAUCUGUGUUUUGUACUGUAUUAGUAUUUAAAAUUAAAUUAAAUUUACAU